rnacentral:tRNA from 1 species
GCCUGGGUGGCUCAGUCGGUUGAGCGCCUGACUUCAGCUCAGGUCAUGAUCUCACGGUUGGUGGGAUGGAGCCCCGCAUCGGGCU